GCCCAGGUCCCGCUCUCCAGCCGCGCUCCUUUCUAACCAUCUGCGGCUUCCGCGCUCUCUUUCUGCGCCUGCGCUGUAGCUUUCUGCGUCGCUUUCGCUACCUCGUUUUGAGCCCUAUGCUAAUUAGCCCCCUUUAGGGGCGGAGCCAGUUUGACCCCCUCCCUUCCCUUGUCCACGCGACGGGCGUUGUACAGCGCGAUGCCGGUUUACGACAGUGUUUUUUCUACCUUUACGGCUGUCAUUAGCAACUGAACCGACAGGGGCCUGCUGGCUCGGGACUGCUGCGGUUAGGUGGUGCCCGGGCUAUGAGGUGGCAGGCAGCUGCCUUUCCAUCAAGCUGGAAGACGAGCAGUUUUGCGUGGACCAAGUAGUUCUUCUGACAUCACGAGCCAUGUAUCCAUCUGUCUAUCUUAGCUUUUGACCUUACUUGGACUGCU
rnacentral:lncRNA from 1 species